AGCAGUCGCCACGGGAACACGGAGGAUCCGAGCGUUAUCCGGAUUUAUUGGGUUUAAAGGGUGCGUAGGCGGCCUGGUAAGUCAGGGGUGAAAGACGGCAGCUUAACUGUCGCAGUGCCUUUGAUACUGCCGGGCUUGAAUGCACUUGAGGUAGGCGGAAUGUGACAAGUAGCGGUGAAAUGCAUAGAUAUGUCACAGAACACCAAUUGCGAAGGCAGCUUACUAAAGUGUGAUUGACGCUGAGGCACGAAAGCGUGGGGAUCAAACAGGAUUAGAUACCCGAGUAGUCCCUGUCUCUUAUAC
rnacentral:rRNA from 1 species